rnacentral:rRNA from 1 species
UUUAAUGGCCGCGGUACCCUAACCGUGCAAAGGUAGCGUAAUCACUUGUCCACUAAUUAUGGACCAGUAUGAAUGGCACCACGAGGGCUAACCUGUCUCCCUUUUCUAAUCAGUAAAACUGAUCUCCCCGUGAAGAAGCGGGGAUAAACAUAUAAGACGAGAAGACCCCAUGGAGCUUAAAACUAAGAGUCAUCUACUUAACUUACACCACAAAAUAUAAGGAUAUUCUCAAAGUUUUCGGUUGGGGCGACCGCGGAGUACAACAAAACCUCCAUGAUGAACGAACAUAAAAUUCUUACCAUAGAGCUACAUUACAAAGGACCACAAACGUGACAUCCAUUGACCCAAACACUUGAUCAACGAACCUAGUUACCCUGGGGAUAACAGCGCAAUCCAUUUCAAGAGCCCCUAUCGACAAAUGGGUUUACGACCUCGA